ensembl:lncRNA
GGCACCUGCCCUUCCCGGCUCGCUCGCCUCAGCCUCUUGAUGAUAUUUUUCAUCCCUCGCCCCCCCUCUUCUUCUCUCCGCCGAUUCACACAAACAUUUUAUACAGGGAAGGGGGAAUUUCCCAGUCUUUUGCUGCUUUCCCCCCCCCUCUUUCCUGGGUUUGCCCCUCUCCCCCUUGCUCCUUUCCCUUUCUGUUUCUCUGCCCCUCGCCCCCCCACCGCCGCUUGUUUGUCCCAAUGCCCGGCCGAUGAUCGCGGUGUAUGAAGUUCUAACUGGUUUGUGUCAGGCAGCGCUCUCUAAGCAGUCUGGCGUGACGGAUUAAACAUCAACUAGUUAAAUAAAAAUUAAUAUCAACUGCCUCCUAACUUCUAAUGUCAUGUUGUUUAUAACUAAUGAACUGAUUAGGGGAUAAACACAUCAGGAAGACAUUUCUGCUUCCCUGCUCUUUCGAGAGAGAUUUGCAGAAUUCAAAGUAAAUCUCCCAGAGUCCUUUCUGGGUUUCUCCCGCACCAGGCUGGGGAGGGAGGACGGGGAUUCCGUGGGGUUUGUUGGGGUAAGGUCGGGGGAAUCCGGUGCAUCUGUCAGGGUUAGCUGGACUUAUUUAAACAUCUCACCGAGGAAGCAUUUCAGCGCGGCUGCGAGCAGGGCUCGGGCUGCAGGAGAUCUCGAAAGUCAGCGGGGGAAAGCAAGACACCCAAGCGRGGAGGAGAGAAACGAAGAAAAGGCCGCGGCGGAUCUACUGGCUCGCAGCCGUCCCGGGGAGACGGGCCAUUAGGCAGAGGAGCCAUGGCUCAGAGCUCAGGGAGAGCAGGAUACAGAGGUUUAAAAUACAAAGCUCACCGAGUGCCAGCACAGAGCCGUGCUGUGGCCCCGGCCGCCAGGCGUUUGCUGCAGGGGAGGYUUGGAAAAGAAAAGCUGCGGCGGGCGCUGGGAAGCGAGGCUGGGAACYGGAGCGAAUAGCGCUGCUUUUCCUUUGUCAUUUCUGCUGGASUCGCAGGGUGAAAUAUCCCCCACCUAGAGAGGGUUUCAAGUGCACAAAAACAGAGAGACACGUACGGGAGGCAAAUAAAAAUAUUCGCCCUUCAGAAAAGCACAUCUCUCCUGUCGAUAGUUUCCCCGUGUAUAAAUGUGUGCGCACCACCUCUGUAAAUCUCAAUAUUAAACACGUUGUGUGGGAAUGUAUAUAUAUGCAUAUACACGUGCAAGCUUAUGUUUUCAUAAUCGAACCAAUUAAAUCUAUUAUAUAUGCUGUAUGCUACAUAUAAAUAUGACAAAGAUYCACUAAAACGUAAAAGAAAAUUACAAAGGCAACGAAAAAGGCCUCCUAAACGAAAAGGCCACAGAGGCAGGUUUUUGCUAUUCUGCACCGAAAAUCUUCUAAGUCAAAACCGAAAAAAAAAAUCCUUCAGAAAGUUUGCAAACCCCUCUGUUCCUUUUCCCUUCUGUGUUUUUAAAGGAUCUGCCGAAGUCCCUUUGCAUCUGAGGUUUAAAUAGGGAGAUCAAUAGAAAACAGUUGUAAUGAUCUAAUUAAUUAUGGCAAAAUUAAAAGCGAGUAGAAAAUCAAUCUCUGAUGGUGUUGAAGAUGGAAUUAAAUUGAUAGUCCAUCUGUUCACCUCCUAGACCGUAUAAAUAUGCAACCCAAGGACGGAGCUAAUGGGAUCGAGCUGCCUGGGAGACUCUCUCAUUCYCUCUCUCUUGUUUUUUACUCCAUUCCUUGCCCAAGUUGAGCCCCGUAGCCCCCGUGUUCCCGCUGUUCCCCCUCUCGCUGGAGACACGCAAAACGCUGCUYGUGUCGGGCAACUCAAACCGGCGGCAGCAGCAGCAAACCUGAGGCUACAAAGCCCUGUGGUUGGGAGGGAGAAAAAAGGCAAGCUGAGGAGGACAGCGUUCAGUGAGUGUGUGCUCCCUUAACGGGCUGUUUUUAAAUCGAACGGACAAGAUGAUGAUGACGGUGACAACGGAGUAGUUUGAGGAUGUUCUCCUCCUUCUAAGCGGCUUUUUUACAUWGGUCGUGGGUUCGGGAAAGUCAGCCCUUUCUGUAGCCGGAUUUCUAUGAAAUACUSUGUGUGUUCUGUCAGGGAGAGGCGACACAUUGAAUUAGUUUUGUUUAUCCGGUUUUCCUGACUGUGAAGCUCUAAGGGCAGAGACCCAACGGGAGGCCGGCGGUGCCGCCCUGUCCCGGCGCUGUCCCCAUUCCCCACCCCUGCCCUGUCCCCGCCGGGCCAACUUUCCCCAAGUGUGGCAUCCUGGGGCUGCCACCCGCCUGCCCAGCACGGUGACACUCUGCUGAACGACCAGCGCCACUUGAAAAUAAAGGAGAAUCGGUGUAAUUGCUAAAUUACAUUACUGAGUAAUGUAAGAGGCAUUGCUGUAUUUUCCCUUAAAAAAAAAAUAGUAAUAAAUCCCCUCUUUCCCCUCUUUCCGCGGUAAUUUGUAGGUGCAGAGCUAACAGCAGGGAGAGCUAGGGCGAGCUGUCAGCCUUGGAGGAGUUCCCCGCCAUCCCGGCCGCUUUUUAAUUGUGAAAAAUUAAAGCUAGGUGCUGCGGUUCCGUUGGAAAAUAACCAAUGAAACCCAUGAUAGCAUUGCCCGGCUUAGAGCUGCGUGGGGUGGGACGGUGGGGGAGGGCCGCUUAAAUAAGUGAAGCUUAAAUAUAAAUCAACUAAGACAGGGGGUCCCGGGCCCAGAUCUAACCGCGUGUGCACACCCCCAGCGCGGGGGGCGAAAAGAAUUGACCGCAUCUCACCAAGUUGUGUCAAUUUAGCUCUGCCAAAGCCCGAGAGCCCACGGAGGGAGUCCCGCCGGCUUCGCCCGCCGCCCCCAGCGCC